rnacentral:tRNA from 1 species
GGGCGAGUGGUGAAAUCGGUAGACACCCGGGACUUAAAAUCCCGUGCUUGUAAAAAAGCGUGCGAGUUCAAGUCUCGCCUCGCCCA